UGCAGUCGAGGGGUAACAGAAAAAAGCUUGCUUUUUUGCUGACGACCGGCGAACGGGUGCGUAACACGUAUGUAACCUACCUAUAACUGGGGAAUAGCCUACUGAAAGGUGGAUUAAUACGCCAUAAUAUGUAUUUAAGGCAUCUUUUAUACAUUAAAGCUUCGGCGGUUAUAGAUGGACAUGCGCAACAUUAGCUUGUUGGUGAGGUAACGGCUCACCAAGGCAACGAUGUUUAGGGGGUCUUAGAGGAUGAUCCCCCACACUGGUACUGAGACACGGACCAGACUCCUACGGGAGGCAGCAGUGAGGAAUAUUGCGCAAUGGAGGAAACUCUGACGCAGCCAUGCCGCGUGCAGGAAGACGGUCUUAUGGAUUGUAAACUGCUUUUGUAUGCCAAGAAACCUUAGUACGUGUACUAAGCUGACGGUAGCAUACGAAUAAGGAUCGGCUAACUCCGUGCCAGCAGCCGCGGUAAUACGGAGGGUGCGAGCGUUAAUCGGAAUUACUGGGCGUAAAGCGCACGCAGGCGGUUUGUUAAGCUAGAUGUGAAAGCCCCGGGCUCAACCUGGGAUGGUCAUUUAGAACUGGCAGACUAGAGUCUUGGAGAGGGGAGUGGAAUUCCAGGUGUAGCGGUGAAAUGCGUAGAUAUCUGGAGGAACAUCAGUGGCGAAGGCGACUCCCUGGCCAAAGACUGACGCUCAUGUGCGAAAGUGUGGGUAGCGAACAGGAUUAGAUACCCUGGUAGUCCACACCGUAAACGCUGUCUACUA
rnacentral:rRNA from 1 species